rnacentral:rRNA from 1 species
UGGGGAAUUUUGGACAAUGGGCGCAAGCCUGAUCCAGCCAUGCCGCGUGCGGGAAGAAGGCCUUCGGGUUGUAAACCGCUUUUGUCAGGGAAGAAAAGUUCCGGGUUAAUACCCUGGGAUGCUGACGGUACCUGAAGAAUAAGCACCGGCUAACUACGUG